GACGAACGCUGGCGGCGUGCCUAAUACAUGCAAGUCGAACGAGAGCAACCGGUGCUUGCACUGGUCAAUCUAGUGGCGAACGGGUGAGUAACACGUGGGUAACCUGCCCAUCAGAGGGGGAUAACAUCCGGAAACGGAUGCUAAAACCGCAUAGGUCUUCGAACCGCAUGGUUUGAAGAGGAAGAGAGGCGCAAGCUUCUGCUGAUGGAUGGACCCGCGGUGCAUUAGCUAGUUGGUGAGGUAACGGCUCACCAAGGCCGUGAUGCAUAGCCGACCUGAGAGGGUGAUCGGCCACAUUGGGACUGAGACACGGCCCAAACUCCUACGGGAGGCAGCAGUAGGGAAUCUUCCGCAAUGGACGCAAGUCUGACGGAGCAACGCCGCGUGAGUGAAGAAGGUUUUCGGAUCGUAAAACUCUGUUGUUAGAGAAGAACAAGUGCUAGAGUAACUGUUAGCGCCUUGACGGUAUCUAACCAGAAAGCCACGGCUAACUACGUG
rnacentral:rRNA from 1 species